AACACGUUCGGUAUCAUCCAAGAGAAUGUGGCAGCUGGAGAGGAGAGUCCAAGAAAGAGGCCAAGGGUGAAGCUGAAUGAAGACAUUUAGCCACCCCCUGAGGUACGUGGCAUCAUCCAACCCUCUUGCUGAGCUGCAGGAGUGUGCUCCCCAUUGCAGUGCACCAGCUCCAUGUACUGAUUUUGGGUGUGAACUUGAUGGGGUUGGAGGAAACUCGACUCGGCCAUCAAGCUCACCACAAUAUAACAUGAAAAGUGAAAAUUGCUGCACACAACAGUCUAUCGUCUGCAGCUCAAAGCCCAGGCUGUUACAACUCCUGGGCAGUUUUUGCCCAGAGCAAUUUUUUAGAUCCAAUAGGCGUGGAGUUUUUCUAAGGUCAGGUUCAACAUGCUGCAAGAUCUAAGCCUAGUAGGAGAUAUGGGUUACAAGAGAGGAGGUUUGCUCUGGCCUUAUACUAUCAAAGUCCAAAUGCUAAUAGAUUUCUAAGCACAGUAUUUCACUUGCCUUCAGUUUCAACACUUCACUCAUGACUCAGGGGUAUUUCAGUAAAUGUUGGCUGGAGCAAACAGACUCUGACAGCCCUGCAGCAAAGAGCACAGGCUUUGUCAAAAGAAGAGAUACUUCGUGGGAUUUGCCAUUAUUUAGUAUUACUCUUGUUUCGCCAAGAAAUUUUUUCCAUAUACUUUGCCAAAUAUUGCAAGUAAUGCACCAUUGUUGGUCUUGCCUGUUAUAAAUCAGGUCUUGUUCAGUUAACAAGCUUUGGGUGUCUGCCACUUUCCAGUUGUAAUGCAAGGAAUCAUUUAUCUUCCCUGCCAGAUAUCACAUGUAAUGCACCAUUGUUGGCUUUGCCUGUUGUAAAUCAGAUCUUGUUCAGUUAACAAGCUUUAGGUGUCUGCCACUUUCCAAUUGUAAUGCAAGGAAUCCCCUGCCAGAUAUUGCAUGUAAUGCACCAUUGUUGGUUUUGCCUGUUAUAAAUCAGAUCUUGUUCAGCUCACAAGCUUUGAAUAUCUGCCAUUGUUUAUUUCAGGUGUAAUGCUUGGAAGCAUUUGUUCUCUGCCCUACCCAACAGUAUGCAAUGCUUUAUUGUGGAUUUUGCCUGUUAUGUUCAAUCUUGUUCAGGUAACAAGCUUUUGGUGUCUGCCUUACCUAAU